rnacentral:piRNA from 1 species
UAUCCUAGAAUAGAAAUGCGCCUCCUUCA